AUUGAACGCUGGCGGCAGGCUUAACACAUGCAAGUCGAACGGCAGCAGGAGAAAGCUUGCUUUCUUGCUGACGAGUGGCGGACGGGUGAGUAAUGCUUGGGAAUCUGGCUUAUGGAGGGGGAUAACGACGGGAAACUGUCGCUAAUACCGCGUAAUAUCGAAAGAUUAAAGUGUGGGACCUUCGGGCCACAUGCCAUAGGAUGAGCCCAAGUGGGAUUAGGUAGUUGGUGGGGUAAAGGCCUACCAAGCCUGCGAUCUCUAGCUGGUCUGAGAGGAUGACCAGCCACACUGGAACUGAGACACGGUCCAGACUCCUACGGGAGGCAGCAGUGGGGAAUAUUGCGCAAUGGGGGGAACCCUGACGCAGCCAUGCCGCGUGAAUGAAGAAGGCCUUAGGGUUGUAAAGUUCUUUCGGUAUUGAGGAAGGUUGAUGUG
rnacentral:rRNA from 1 species